GACGAACGCUGGCGGCGUGCUUAACACAUGCAAGUCGAACGGAAAGGCCCUGCUUUUGUGGGGUGCUCGAGUGGCGAACGGGUGAGUAACACGGGAGUCACCUGCCCUUGACUUUGGGAUAACUUCAGGAAACUGGGGCUAAUACCGGCUAGGAGCUCCAGCUGCAUGGUGGGGGUUGGAACGUUUCGGCGGUUGGGGAUGGACUCGCGGCUUAUCAGCUUGUUGGUGGGGUAGUGGCUUACCAAGGCUUUGACGGGUAGCCGGCCUGAGAGGGUGACCGGCCACAUUGGGACUGAGAUACGGCCCAGACUCCUACGGGAGGCAGCAGUGGGGAAUAUUGCACAAUGGGCGGAAGCCUGAUGCAGCAGCGCCGCGUGCGGGAUGACGGCCUUCGGGUUGUAAACCGCUUUCGCCUGUGACGAAGCGUGAGUGACGGUAAUGGGUAAAGAAGCACCGGCUAACUACGUG
rnacentral:rRNA from 1 species